rnacentral:misc_RNA from 1 species
UCCGAGUUGACCCCGGCAGUCUCCUAUGAGUCCCCACCAUAACGUGCUGGCAACAUAGAACGAGGGUUGCGCUCGUUGCGGGACUUAACCCAACAUCUCACGACACGAGCUGACGACAACCAUGCACCACCUGUAUACCGCCCAAUAAAGGACCCCGUAUCUCUACGAGUUUUCGGUAUAUGUCAAGCCUUGGUAAGGUUCUUCGCGUUGCAUCGAAUUAAUCCGCAUGCUCCGCCGCUUGUGCGGGCCCCCGUCAAUUCCUUUGAGUUUUAGCCUUGCGGCCGUACUCCCCAGGCGGGGCGCUUAAUGCGUUUGCUGCGGCACGGAACCCGUGGAUAGGACCCCACACCUAGCGCCCAACGUUUACGGCAUGGACUAC